UGCUGGUUCACUGAUGCCGUCUUGUGGUCACUUUUAUUACUACAAUUUGUUUACCAGAAAGGAAGAAGGCCUGUUGAUCCAUGUGCUCUGAAAGAAGCACUUUUUGUUGUGUUUUCUUUAAUCUAAGUGCGAAAAAGGGAAAACAGCAUCGUCUUUUUACACGAUUCUCAUUAAACCCUGCUAAA